GUGGUAUAAGGGAGAAUGGAAGAAAGCAGGACUUUUGCAAAAGAUGCUAAAGGCCAGGGUUUACAAAUGAGGGUCUGGCCAUUUGCACAGAACUGAAAGAGCUGCUCCAGAGUCUGGGGAAGGAAUAAAACCGAACACCUGAGACUGUUGGGAUCCCUCGUUCCUGUCCUUCCAGGGGAGCAGAGAGGUGACUUCCUGUUGGCGGUACUAUCUAAGCCUGAGGGAAGGUGAUUUUCCCAUUCCCUGAGAGCUGGAGCUUCCUGCUUUCCAGCUAUCUGGAGAUCCUGAGAUCUGGUUCAUCCCUGUCUCUACCUGUGUUCCUAUAAGAUUCCAGAUCCCAAGAGUUUCUGACUACUAUGAGAGAGAGCUGAAACCUUGUUGGUGUUGGAGGUGAUCCAGGAGGACCUGAGAGUUCCAGCCAAGAUGACUGUGGAUCCAGGGCUGCAAGGAGGAUGGUGCAGCCCAUCAGCCUGGCAUAGGACUCGAGCCCCUGAGGUGAGACUUGAAGAGAGAGAGGUUUUUCAGGACAAGCCAAGAUGCAAGAAACAAGGCUAGAGACCUGACCUGCCUAUCAAUCAAGAAGAAGGUUCCAAAUGGAAUGUUCCCAGGGGAGGCAGGCCACAGGAGGAGAAGAAGCAGGAUCUAAAACUUCUGACUCUGUCUCUGGCCCUGGCAGUUGAGCCUGAGUAAAGGGGAAGAAGCUAAGAACUACCUCUCUAUGUAUAACAUAUUAUGUAUAAUAUA
rnacentral:lncRNA from 1 species